AAAUAAGGCUGGAAAUCUCACGCAGCGCCGACCUCCUCCCAGGUAUCCCACGCUCGGAGCCAGCGGAGGUGGCAGCAGGUCUGUCACUUUGCAGCGGGGCCGCUGUAAUUAUGCUGUGGGAAGCAGAGCUCACUUCGCCGAACCCUGAGCGGAUUAAGGAUCCUCCGUGCCUUUUCCCACCCCUCUCUGCCAGGGAAGGAGACGCCUGGAGGAGCUCUGAGGGGGUGAAGCAGCCUGCAGGAGAUCUGCUGCCUUCUCCCCGCUGGUGCUCCCCUCCAGCUCCUUCUGGAUGCAUGGCACGGGCUCUGCUUGCUGCUAGAUCACCCCUUCCCAUCAACACGUCUGCAACACCGGGACCUUCUCCUUCAGAGCUCACCCUGAGCUGCUGCAUGCAGGGUGCUCCCCAGCACACGGGGAGGUCUGUGCAAGGCAGCAGCUUCCAGCCCGAGCUGCCGUUGUGCUCUGUGUGCAGCAGGGAGGUGUAUCAUUAAUCUAUUAAUUAUUCACACUGCGCCAGACGGGCGCGCGGAAGAUCAGACGGGGAUUGCUGGCUCCCAGCGAGCUCCUCGACUCUCCUUAUGUCAAGAAUUGCUCUUCAGUCACAGGCACGUUGUCACCGGCCACCUGCAUGUGACAGGACAAUCUUUGUUAAAAUCCCAAUUAGCAGAUAAUAAGGGCGGCACGAAACCACAUUCUCCCAAGCCAGAUUGGCACCCGCCCUCCUAUUUUUUUUCCUUUCUCUUUAUUUUUUGUCCUUUCCCUUUCUAAAAUGGAUGUUUCUCGCCAAGACUUCAGGGCAAGAGGCAGCUCAGGUCUGAAGAAGUGGAAGCCUCCACUGAAUGCCACGUCGUCCCAUGGCCCCCUUGUAAACAAGGCAGGGCUCCCAGUGCCUCAGCACAAGGCUUUAAAGGCAUUGCUCCACUCUUUUGGAUUAGUGACCCAUUCUAACAGGUCCUCAUUGACCGCCAUCGCGGGUCUCUCAAAGAGUCCAUUGGGCGCAGCUUACAAAGGAGCUGAGCCGGAGAUGAAGAGUUUACAAAAAGUUUGUAGGAAACCGUGGAGUCCUUUUAAAAGAGAAUAAACUGCCACUGCUGUGUCU
rnacentral:lncRNA from 7 species